GUCGUUACAAGGUCUCCGUAGGUGAACUGCGGAGGGAUCAUUA
rnacentral:rRNA from 1 species